GGAUGUGAAGGUGAUCCGGCUACAUCAGUCACCCCGUUGAUCUCCAGGAUUGAUUCAGCUGACAUGGCUGCCUAGGCAGGCGUCCUCUUUGUCCCGCAGUGAUCCAGGUGGGUCCUGCCAGAAGCUGCGCACUCGGCCAAAGGGGACGACCACCCCCACAGAGGAGGACCGUUCCUUGGAGGGAGUACUGCGCUCCCCUGCUAGAAUCUCCCAACAAGCUCUCAAGGUCUAUAGCGCCCAAGCCCCAGGAGAGCAGGGGUGGGGUGGGGUCAGGAGAGGAGAUAU
rnacentral:snRNA from 1 species